UGCCCAACAGCUAGCCCACAAACUCAACAACAACCAACCAUUAUUUAUAACCCCAAAUGCACGAGUGUUUUAAUUAAACAAACCAUUUUUCCCCUUUAGUAUGGGCGACAGAAAAAGGACUUAGGAGCAAUAGAGAAAGUACCGCAUAGGGAUCGCUGAAAGAGAAAUGAAACAACCCAGUGAAGCUAAGUAAAGCAGAGAUUUAUUCUCGUACCUUUUGCAUCAUGAUUUAGCCAGCGUGACCCAAGCAAAGAGUGCUUUAGUUUGACAACCCCGAAACUAGGGGAGCUACUCCAAGACAGCCUAUUUAUAGGGCGAACCCGUCUCUGUGGCAAAAGAGUGGAAUGAGCUUUGAGUAGAGGUGAUAAACCUACCGAACCUAGUUAUAGCUGGUUGCCCGGGAAAUGGAUAGAAGUUCAGCCUCUCAGAUUUUUUAUUCACCUCAGUAUUACCCCACCUGAUACCACAAGAAACUGUGAGAGUUAUUCAAAGGGGGUACAGCCCCUUUGAAACAAGAUACAACUUUUCCGGGAGGAAAAAGAUCAUAAUAAAAUAAAGGUAAGUAUUUGGGUGGGCCUAAAAGCAGCCACCCCAGUAGAAAGCGUUAUAGCUCAAAUACACCACUACCCCUCUCUAUCCUGAUAAUUAAUUCUUACUCCCCCCUUCCCUACCGGGCCAUCCCAUGCAAACAUGGGAGGGACCCUGCUAAUAUGAGUAAAUAAGAGAGCCAAGCCUCUCUCCUUGCACACAUGUAAUUCGGAACGAACCCGCACCGAGCAUUAACGGCCCCAAACGAAGAGGGACCUGAAACAACAACCCAAACAACCAGAAAAAAAUUCAAACAUAAACCGUUAACCCCUACACAGGUGUGCACCUAGGGAAAGACUAAAAGAAAGAGAAGGAACUCGGCAAACAAAUCAAGCCUCGCCUGUUUACCAAAAACAUCGCCUCUUGCAAAGCUAAAGAAUAAGAGGUCCCGCCUGCCCUGUGACUAUUAGUUUAACGGCCGCGGUAUUUUGACCGUGCAAAGGUAGCGCAAUCACUUGUCUUUUAAAUGAAGACCUGUAUGAAUGGCACAACGAGGGCUUAACUGUCUCCUCUUUCAAGUCAAUGAAAUUGAUCUCCCCGUGCAGAAGCGGGGAUAUAAACAUAAGACGAGAAGACCCUAUGGAGCUUUAGACACCAAAGAAGAUCCUGUCAAGUAACCCCCUAUAAGGGCCUGAACUAAUGGAAUCCUUCCCUAAUGUCUUUGGUUGGGGCGACCGCGGGGAAACAAAAAACCCCCACGUGGAAAGGGAGCACCCCCUCCUACAACUAAGAGCCGCAGCUCUAAUUAACAGAAUAUCUGACCAAUAAGAUCCGGCAAUGCCGAUCAACGGACCGAGUUACCCUAGGGAUAACAGCGCAAUCCCCUUUUAGAGCCCAUAUCGACAAGGGGGUUUACGACCUCGAUGUUGGAUCAGGACAUCCUAAUGGUGCAGCCGCUAUUAAGGGUCCGUUUGUUCAACGGUUAAAGUCCUACGUGAUCUGAGUUCAGACCGGAGUAAUCCAGGUCAGUUUCUAUCUAUGGUGUGCUCUUUUCUAGUACGAAAGGACCGAAAAGAAGAGGCCCCUGCUCUAAGCAAGCCUCACCCCCACCUAGUGAAGACAACUAAAGUAGGCAAGAGGGCAUACCCCCACUGCCUGAGAGAACGGCAU
rnacentral:rRNA from 1 species